CCUCCUUAUACGAUUUAGAACUUAUUUGUUCGUAGUGUCCACACAGAUGAUUGUUAGUUAGUUUCACCUUUGGGUUUAACUGAUUAAUAUGCUCUUUAAAAAUUUGGAAAAGCUGAUAAUAAAAUUCGUAUGAAUAACACUGUUAUUUGUACAGAGUUUUCAAAAGUAAAAAAGAAUGAUAGCAGUAUCAUUCAGUGCCAAUUUAAUCAUUUAUGAUUAAUUGGUAUCUACUUUAGUAUUCAAUAUUAACUUCUGGCGAAGUUAAACUGUCACAUAACAAAGACCCGUUUGGGUUGUAUGGUUAAGUGACUAAGCGUACACGGUGGAUGCCUUGGCAGUUGGAGGCGAUGAAGGACGUAUUAACUUGCGAUAAGCCUAGUCAAGCUAGUAAA
rnacentral:misc_RNA from 1 species